rnacentral:rRNA from 1 species
AACGAACGCUGGCGGCAGGCUUAACACAUGCAAGUCGAACGCCCCGCAAGGGGAGUGGCAGACGGGUGAGUAACGCGUGGGAAUCUACCUAGUUCUACGGAACAACAGAGGGAAACUUCUGCUAAUACCGUAUACGCCCUAUGGGGGAAAGAUUUAUCGGAAUUAGAUGAGCCCGCGUAAGAUUAGCUAGUUGGUGAGGUAAUGGCUCACCAAGGCGACGAUCUUUAGCUGGUCUGAGAGGAUGAUCAGCCACACUGGGACUGAGACACGACCCAGACUCCUACGGGAGGCAGCAGUGGGGAAUAUUGGACAAUGGGCGCAAGCCUGAUCCAGCCAUGCCGCGUGAGUGAUGAAGGCCUUAGGGUUGUAAAGCUCUUUCAGUGGGGAAGAUAAUGACGGUACCCACAGAAGAAGCCCCGGCUAACUUCGUGCCAGCCGCCGCAGUAAAAC